rnacentral:rRNA from 1 species
GUCUCAGGCCGUAUCAGCCUGAAGGCGCCCGAUCUCGUCUGAUCUCGGAAGCUAAGCAGGUUCGGGCCUGGUUAGGAUCUUGGAUGGGAGACCACCUGGGAAUCCCGGGUGCUCGAGGCU